UAGGGAAUCUUCAGCAAUGGACGCACGUCUGACGGAGCAACGCCGCGUGAGUGAAGAAGGAUUUCGGUUCGUAAAACUCUGUUGUUAGAGAAGAACAGCGCAUAGAGUAACUGUUAUGCGUGUGACGGUAUCUAACCAGAAAGCCACGGCUAACUACGUGCCAGCAGCCGCGGUAAUACGUAGGUGGCAAGCGUUGUCCGGAUUUAUUGGGCGUAAAGCGAGCGCAGGCGGUCAAUUAAGUCUGAUGUGAAAGCCCCCGGCUCAACCGGGGAGGGUCAAUGGAAACUGGUUGGCUUGAGUGCAGGAGAGGAGAGUGGAAUUCCAUGUGUGGCGGUGAAAUGCGUAGAUAUAUGGCGGAACACCAGUGGCGAAGGCGACUCUCUGGUCUGUAACUGACGCUGAGGCUCGAAAGCGUGGGUAGCAAACAGG
rnacentral:rRNA from 1 species